rnacentral:rRNA from 1 species
UACAGAGGGUGCAAGCGUUAUUCGGAAUUACUGGGCGUAAAGCGUGCGCAGUCGGUUAUCUAAGUCGGGUGUGAAAUCCCCGGGCUCAACCUGGGAAUUGCAUUCGAUACUGGAUAGCUAGAGUUCGGCAGAGGGAAGCGGAAUUUCGGGUGUAGCGGUGAAAUGCGUAGAUAUGCGGAGGAACACCGAUGGCGAAGGCAAUCCCCUGGGCCUGCACUGACGCUCAUGCACGAAAGCGUGGGGAGCAAACAGG